rnacentral:tRNA from 1 species
GCCUGGCUGGUUCAGUCAGUAGAGCAUGUGACUCUUAAUCUCUGGGUUGUGAGUUCAAGCCUCACGUUGGGCG